UUAUGCCUGGCUCCCUGUAUGCCACAAGCAGAAGUUCAAUCUGUUUCUCGAUUGGCUAUUGCGGGUGGCGUAUGAGGAGUCAAGCAUAG